rnacentral:tRNA from 1 species
GAGGGUAUAGCUCAGAGGUAGAGCACGUGCUUAGCAUGCACGAGGUCCUGGGUUCAAUCCCCAGUGCUUCCA